CCCUUAGAUGUCCUGGGCUGCACGCGCGCUACACUGAUGUGUCCAGUAAGCACCUAACCUCUUCCGAAAGGAACGGGUAACCUUUGCAAAGCACAUCGUGAUGGGGAUAGAUUAUUGCAAUUAUUAGUCUUGAACGAGGAAUUCCUAGUAAGCACAAGUCAUCAGCUUGUGUUGAUUACGUCCCUGCCCUUUGUACACACCGCCCGUCGCUCUACCGAUUGAAUGUUCCGGUGAGCUCUUCGGACUGCGCGGUCUGCAGUUUCUGCGUUCCGUGCGGAAAGUUGCGCAAACCUUAACAUUUAGAGGAAGGAGAAGUCGUAACA
rnacentral:rRNA from 1 species